AUGGCGUCGCUGCAGCUGCAAGCUGUCGCUGCCGUCCUGGCUCUCGUGGCCGGCGCCGGUGCCGCGCACAGCUUCGAGUUCCACGAGGCCACCGUCGAAGCCAUCCAGCUAGGGUUCAGCAACGGGACUCUGACCUCCACGGCGCUCGUCCGGUUCUACCUGGAUCAGAUCGGCCGCCUCAACCCGCUGCUGCACGCCGUCAUCGAGGUGAACCCGGACGCGCUCCGGCAGGCCAAGCAUGCCGACGCCGAGCGCCGCCGCGGCACGGCCACCGGCUCGCUGCGCGGCGUCCCCGUCCUGCUCAAGGACAACAUCGCGACCCGUGACGCGCUCAACACCACGGCGGGGUCGCUGGCUCUCCUCGGCUCUGUGGUGAAGCGUGACGCCGGCGUGGCGGCUCGGCUCCGGCGUGCGGGCGCCGUGGUGCUCGGCAAGGCCAGCCUGUCCGAGUGGGCCAAUUUCCGCCCAGUCGAAGCCGGGUGGAGCGCCCGCGGCGGCCAGGCGCGGAACCCGUACGUGCUGUCGUCUACCCCGUGCGGGUCGAGCGCCGGGUCCGGCGUGGCCGUGGCGGCGAACAUGGCGGCCGUGACGCUCGGCACCGAGACCGACGGCUCCAUACUUUGCCCGUCGUCGUUCAACUCGGUUGUCGGCAUCAAGCCGACGUUGGGGUUGACCAGCCGGGCCGGCGUCGUCCCCAUCACCCCGUUGCAGGACACCGUCGGACCGAUGUGCCGGACGGUGUCGGACGCGGUGCACGUGCUGGAUGCCAUCGUCGGCUACGACGCGCAAGACGCCGCGGCCACCGGAGCGGCAUCCAAGUACAUCCCGCACGGCGGGUACACGCAGUUCCUAAAGAAAAACGGGCUAAAAGGCAAGAGGAUCGGCGUCCCCAAUGGCUUCUUCCAAGGAUAUGACCAGACGCAGUUGAAUACGUACAAGCAGCACCUCGCCACAAUGAGGAAACUUGGAGCAGUGGUGAUCGAGAAGCUGGACGUCGCUGCCAAUUUGACCGCUCUAUUCGUUGAGAUUUAUUCCAAGGAGGGGAUUGCGAUGCAGGCAGAGUUCAAACUGAGCAUAAACGCGUAUUUGGCAGACUUGGUCUACUCCCCGGUCCAUUCGCUAGCAGACAUCAUAGCUUUCAACAACAAGCAUCCUGUGGAGGAGAGGCUAAAAGAUUUCGGGCAGCCUGAUCUUAUCGCUGCCCAAAGCACAAACGGCAUUGGGCCUGUAGAGAGAGGCGCGAUCCGCCGCCUGAAGGAGCUGAACGCGAAUGGGCUAGAGAAGCUAAUGAUGGAGCGCCAAUUGGACGCGGUCGUGGCGCCUAACAGCGAUAUUUCUAGCCUUCUCGCCAUCAACGGCCACCCUGGCAUCGUUGUGCCGGCGGGGUACGACGAGAAGGGGUUCCCCUUCGGGAUAUGCUUCGGGGGGCUGCAGGGGUAUGAGCCGAGGUUGAUCGAGAUGGCCUAUUCUUUCGAGCAGGCUACCAAAGUGAGGAGGCCACCCAUGUUCAAGCCCUAG
rnacentral:rRNA from 1 species